rnacentral:rRNA from 1 species
UGGCACCUCGAUGUCGGCUCAUCACAUCCUGGGGCUGAAGUAGGUCCCAAGGGUAUGGCUGUUCGCCAUUUAAAGUGGUACGCGAGCUGGGUUUAGAACGUCGUGAGACAGUUCGGUCCCUAUCUGCCGUGGGCGCUGGAGAAUUGAGGGGGGCUGCUCCUAGUACGAGAGGACCGGAGUGGACGCAUCACUGGUGUUCGGGUUGUCAUGCCAAUGGCACUGCCCGGUAGCUAAAUGCGGAAGAGAUAAGUGCUGAAAGCAUCUAAGCACGAAACUUGCCCCGAGAUGAGUUCUCCCUGAGACUAUAAGUCUCCUGAAGGAACGUUAAAGACGAUGACGUUGAUAGGCCGGGUGUGUAAGCGCAGCGAUGCGUUGAGCUAACCGGUACUAAUGAACCGUGAGGCUUAACCUUACAACGCCGAAG